GAUGAACGCUGGCGGCGUGCCUAACACAUGCAAGUCGAACGGAGAUUACGGACGGAUGUUUUCGGAUGGAAGACUGUAAUUCUUAGUGUCGGACGUGUGAGUAACGCGUGUGCAACCUGCCCUAUACCGGGGGAUAGCAGCUGGAACCGGCUGGUAAGACCGCCUAAGUCGGCGAGACCGCAUGGUUUUGCCGGGUGAUGAGCAUUCAGGUAUAGGAUGGGCCCGCGUUCGAUUAGAAAGUAGGCAGGUAAAAAGCCUACCAUAGCAACGAUCGGUAGCCGGACUGAGAGGUACGACGGACACACUGAGGCGGGGACACGGCCCAAACUCCUACGGGAUGCAGCAGUGGGUGAUAUAGCAAAAUGGAGGAAGCGAUGAUGCAGCGACGACGGGUGAGUGAAGAAGUAUUUCGGUAUGAAAAGCGCAAGCAGCAGGGAAGAUGAUGACGGUACCUAACUAAGAAGCCCCGGCUAACUACGUG
rnacentral:rRNA from 1 species